rnacentral:rRNA from 1 species
UACGUAUGGAGCAAGCGUUAUCCGGAUUUACUGGGCGUAAAGGGAGCGUAGGCGGCCUGCCAAGUCUGAUGUGAAAUACCGGGGCUCAACCCCGGGGCUGCAUUGGAAACUGUCGCGCUCGAGUGUCGGAGAGGUAAGUGGAAUUCCUAGUGUAGCGGUGAAAUGCGUAGAUAUUAGGAGGAACACCAGUGGCGAAGGCGGCUUACUGGACGACAACUGACGCUGAGGCUCGAAAGCGUGGGGAGCAAACAGG